AGCUGUGACACUGCUGACCCUAAAGGAGGGGGAUCCCAGGACAUGAGCAGCCUCUGGAAGCUGGAAAGAGCAAGCAAAAGCGUCUCCCCUGGAGCCUCCAGAAAGAGCACAGCUCUACCACACCUUGGGGUCAGCCCCCGACAUCCCAUUUGAACUUUUGACCUCUAGAACUGUAAGCUCAACAGCCACAGCACGCCCUCCUGUGUGUCCAUCAGUCUGUCUCACUACCAAGCAGCAGCUGGGCAGGGAGAAGGACCUCAUCUUCCCGAUCAUCACUGUAUUCCUGGCUUGCAAAGGCUGACGAAGCAAUGGAGUGAUUGUUUCUAUUUUAUACCUGAAUCUACAUUAAAGAGGCAGGAGGGACAUCUGAAAAUGGCAAUCACAAAUUGUGAAGGCUCCCCGGUUUUUUAAAUGCUGAAGGGAGAAGCCGGAGGGUCCCCUGGGCCUUUGCCAGAGGACAGCUGGAACAAACAAGUCUGAAGACCUUGGCUUCUGCCGUCCCUUGAAGGCAGCCUGGAACAUUCAGAUUAUGUCAAAUUCCAUUUCACAUGACAUUGUUUCAACAAAAAAGCUAUUUUUACAGAUGGGGAAGUGACUGACAGAGAAAAGUGAUAGUUUUGAGUCUUCGAUGUAAUUUUAAUUGAAGGAAGGACAAAUGCCGUCACAUCCCAGCUCCUAGCAUCAUCCAGCAAGAAUGAAUUUUCCAUAAACGAUUUUAGGGCAAACCAUCAAUUUCCACAUUUCUGGAGACUCAAUCUUUCUUGAAAGCAGGAUGACUUUAUUGCGGAGCAUGCAGCAAUGAGCAAGAGCUCCUGAUUCUCCUGUCCUGGCAGACAUCUGGUGUUCCCAGCCUUCUGGAUUUGGGCCACUAUAGUAGGUGCAUAGCGCUAUCUUGUUAACUGUUUUCAUUUGCAUUUCCCUAACGACAAAUGAUGUGGUGCAUCCUUGCACGGCUGAUGUGCCAUCUGCUCCUCUUGAGUCAGCUGCUGGCUCAGAACGUCUGCUCAUUUUGUAACAGUGCUGUUUGUUUUCUUAUUAUUGAAUUUUAAGACUU